CUUGAUAUACCACACCUGUGAGAUGGAGGGAUCUCUGCAAAGGAGAAGUGCUCACAAGACAUUUUGUGUACAGAGAGAAAGUCUUAGAUAUUUGAUGAAUGGGGGCAAAACCAAAAGUGUUGCAUUUAUAAUUUUGUUUUGUUGUGUGUAUAUAGUUAUAAUAUUAGUUUGACAACACUGCCUGAACUGAACCAGGAAGUGUCAGUGUAGAACCAACGUGUUCUCCUGCUCAAACAGCCACACAUAGUUUAGUACCUUUUAAUUAUUGGAACUUUUUGCUUGAAAGCAAAAUGUGUCUCUUUGACUCAGCCAGUGGAUUGUGGCCUUUAACAAACUUGAAACAGGAAUCAGACUGAAGAGAACUGAAGUAACCUCACCUCAAAAGGAUGUCUCCAGCGGUACAGCUGCUUUUCUCAACACCACUGUGAUGUAUGGAAUAAAUUGGGUCAAAUUUA